rnacentral:rRNA from 1 species
GACGAACGCUGGCGGCGUGCUUAACACAUGCAAGUCGAGCGAUGAAGCACCUUCGGGUGUGAAUUAGCGGCGAACGGGUGAGGAACACGUGAGAAAUCUGCCUUCAACACUGGGAUAACUCCGGGAAACCGGGGCUAAUACCGGAUAUGAAACCCUGCGGGCAUCCGCGGGUUUGGAAAGUUUUUCGGUUGAAGAUGAUCUCGCGGCCUAUCAGCUUGUUGGUGAGGUAAUGGCUCACCAAGGCGACGACGGGUAGCCGGCCCUGAGAGGGCGACCGGCCACACUGGGACUGAGACACGGCCCAGACUCCUACGGGAGGCA